UACGGAGGGUGCGAGCGUUACCCGGAUUUACUGGGCGUAAAGGGCGCGUAGGCGGUCUGUUAAGUCCGAUGCGAAAGACCGGGGCUCAACCUGGGGAGUGCGUUUGAUACUGUGAGACUAGAGUGUGGGAGAGGGCAGCGGAAUUCCCGGUGUAGCGGUGAAAUGCGUAGAUACCGGGAGGAACACCAGUGGCGAAGGCGGCCACCUGGACCAUGACUGACGCUGAGGCGCGAAAGCGUGGGGAGCAAACAGG
rnacentral:rRNA from 1 species